rnacentral:rRNA from 1 species
ACACUCCUACGGGAGGCAGCAGUGGGGAAUUUUGGACAAUGGGCGAAAGCCUGAUCCAGCAAUGCCGCGUGAGUGCAGAAGGCCUUCGGGUUGUAAAGCUCUUUUGUCAGGGAAGAAACGGUGAAAGCUAAUAUCUUUUGCUAAUGACGGUACCUGAAGAAUAAGCACCGGCUAACUACGUGCCAGCAGCCGCGGUAAUACGUAGGGUGCAAGCGUUAAUCGGAAUUACUGGGCGUAAAGCGUGCGCAGGCGGUUUUGUAAGUCUGAUGUGAAAUCCCCGGGCUCAACCUGGGAAUUGCAUUGGAGACUGCAAGGCUAGAAUCUGGCAGAGGGGGGUAGAAUUCCACGUGUAGCAGUGAAAUGCGUAGAUAUGUGGAGGAACACCGAUGGCGAAGGCAGCCCCCUGGGUCAAGAUUGACGCUCAUGCACGAAAGCGUGGGGAGCAAACAGGAUUAGAUACCCCAGUAGUCCCAUGAU